rnacentral:rRNA from 1 species
GUAGGUGGCGAGCGUUGUCCGGAUUUACUGGGCGUAAAGGGCGUGCAGGCGGUUCGUUAAGUUCGAGGUGAAAGCUCCCGGCUCAACUGGGAGAGGUCCCCGGAUACUGGCGGACUUGAGGGAGGUAGAGGAAAGUGGAAUUCCCGGUGUAGUGGUGAUAUGCGUAGAUAUCGGGAGGAACACCAGUGGCGAAGGCGGCUUUCUGGGCCUUACCUGACGCUGAGACGCGAAAGCGUGGGGAGCGAACCGGAUUAGAUACCCGGGUAGUCCACGCCGUAAACGAUGGACACUAGGUGUGGGGGUUAUCGACCCCCUCCCGUGCCCGAAGCUAACGCAGUAAGUGUCCCCCCGCCUGGGGAGUACGGCCGCAAGGCUA